GAUGAACGCUGGCGGCGUGCCUAAUACAUGCAAGUCGAGCGAACGGACGAGAAGCUUUCUUCUCUGAUUUUAGCGGCGGACGGGUGAGUAACACGUGGAUAACCUACCUAUAAGACUGGUAUAACUUCGGGAAACCGUAGCUAAUACCGGAUAAUAUUUUGAACCUCAUGGUUCAAAAGUGAAAUACGCUCUUUCUGUCACUUAUAGAUGGAUCCGCGCUGCAUUAGCUAGUUGGUAAGGUAACGGCUUACCAAGGCAACGAUGCAUAGCCGACCUGAGAGGGGGAUAGGCCACACUGGAACUGAGACACGGUCCAGAAUCCUACGGGAGGCAGCAGUAGGGAAUCUUCAGCAAUGGGAGAAAGCCUGACGGAGCAACGCCGCGUGAGUGAUGAAGGUCUUCGGAUCGUAAAAAUCUGUUAUUAGGGAAGAACAUAUGUGUAAGUAACUGUGCACAUCUUGACGGUAACUAAUCAGAAAGCCACGGCUAACUACGUG
rnacentral:rRNA from 1 species